rnacentral:rRNA from 1 species
GGAGUUAGCCGGUGCUUCUUCUGUGAGUGAUGUCCUUCCUGCCGGCUAUUAACCCGCAGGCCUUCUUCCUCACUGAAAGUGCUUUACAACCCGAAGGCCUUCUUCACACACGCGGCAUGGCUGGAUCAGGGUUGCCCCCCAUUGUCCAAUAUUCCCCACUGCUGCCUCCCGUAGGAGUCUGGGCCGUGUCUCAGUCCCAGUGUGGCUGAUCAUCCUCUCAGACCAGCUACGGAUCGUCGCCUUGGUGAGCCGUUACCUCACCAACCAGCUAAUCCGACAUAGGCUCAUCCGAUAGCGCGAGGCCCGAAGGUCCCCCGCUUUCCCCCGUAGGGCGUAUGCGGUAUUAGCCUGGGUUUCCCCAGGUUACUCCCCACUACCGGGCAGAUUCCUAUGCAUUACUCACCCGUCCGCCGCUCGCCACCAGGGAGCAAGCUCCCCGUGCUGCCGCUCGACUUGCAUGUGUUAGGCCUGCCGCCAGCGUUCAAUCUGAGCCAUGAUCAAACUCUGA